CACCCUUAACGAGGUCAUCUCUCGUUAUAAAAACAAUUUCCACCCGCAGAAUGAACAUUGUUUCUCUCGCGGCUCUCUGCAAUCUGUUACCGCUGAACAAUUAAACAAGGCGUCGCAAACCGCAGGGUAGAAUCUGCGUCUGAGUUGAAGAGCUUAAUAUUUUCCAUUUCCUCAAAUGGAAAAUUAUCCUCAAUCCUUCCUGGAUGAAAAGAAAAGUAGGGCCGAGCUUAGGGAACUCUUAAUAGAUCAAGAAAUACGUCUGGAGAGAAUCCAUGGGCGUAAGCCCGAAAGACGACACUCUCACGACUUUUCCGAAUAUGAUUAUCUUUUGAUUGAUUCACCAUCGCAAAGUCUGUAUCUCAUGGUUGAUCCAUGGCAAGAAAUGCUACGCAUGGAAAAGCUUGGCUCCAAUGAGUUUGUUGAGAACCAACAUGAGCCUGCUCAUAUUACAAACGAAAGUUCAAGUGAUCACGCGAAAGCUAACACUGACUGUGAGGAAGCUGAUGGAGUGGAUGUUGUCAAAGAUGGAGUAGGAUCUGGGUUGGAAAAUUCGGCUGGUAAGGUAGCAGGUCAGUCCCAAGAAAAGGGGCUUGUUUUUGCUGAAGUCCUCGAAGAUGGAGUAGUAUCUGAGUUGGAUAAAUAUAAGGAAUAUGAGGCUGAGGUUUUGAUCUGGGUUGACUACAUCUAAGGUAAAUGAGGUCUGUAAGGCUGUUGAGGUGCUGAAAGAUGAGAGUUCGGGUUCUGACGUCGACUGGAACACGGAAAGGGAGAAGCUUUUCUCUAGUCAAAACAGAACAAAGAUUGCUGUAGGAAAGAAGUUAAAAAAUGACAUGCUUCCAGAGAUUGAGAAGAUUCACAAGAGGAAAGAGAAAUUGCUGAAAAAGCAGCAGAGAGAGGCUAUCCUUCUUGAUGACUGUGUGGGUGCAGAUGGCCUUGGCCCAGGACGCGCCUUCGUGACCAGUGACCUAUACUUUCGAUGAUUCCGUUCGGUCCAUCGAUGAGGCUAUAAAAAUAAUCAAUUUUAGGCGAAAACAACCCUCUCCAGCAUCUGUCAAAAAAGAAACAGCUGCAAAGCUUGAGCCAUCAUCUACCAAUGGUAGACUGAAUGGUCCCUCCAGUACCCCUCCAAGUGGGAAAACAGGUGGUAGUAGUAGUAACACGACAUAUGUAGGCAAGAGAAAAGGAUGCUUGGGUGAUUAAGAAUCAGAUUUCAAAGAGAGGAAGAAGCAAGACCUGAAGCAAGAGUAAACUGUAUGAAGAAGUUCAAGAUUGAUCCUGCCUUACAGAAGCCUAGUUGUGCGUCAACAGUGUGUUUUCAUUUCUUUUUUUGUUUCCCUUGAAACUCCGUAUCACAUGCGUGGGUGAUUAGGUCUUAGUUAAGUGAACUUUGUUGUGAAGGUAGAGAUAAAUUGAUACCUAGUGGUAUCGUACUUAAAAGUGGAGUGUAGAUUGGUGUUAUGGUCUUUAUACUUUUGCCCGUAAAUGUGUUGGGCCUUUAAACCCGGUUUAAUUAAUUUAUGUAUUUUGGACAUCCAAAGUGGACAUGGUUG